UACAGAGGGGGCAAGCGUUUGUUCGGAAUUACUGGGCGUAAAGCGUGCGCAGGCGGUUCGCCAAGUCAGGUGUGAAAUCCCCGGGCUCAACCUGGGAAUGGCGAUGAAGACUGCAAGGCUAGAAUCUGGCAGAGGGGGGGUAGAAUUCCACGUGUAGCAGUGAAAUGCGUAGAGAUGUGGAGGAACACCGAUGGCGAAGGCAGCCCCCCUGGGUCAAGAUUGACGCUCAUGCACGAAAAGCGUGGGGAGCAAACAGG
rnacentral:rRNA from 1 species